GUGCGCCUCGUCAUCCCGGUACGAGCCAUCGUUGCUCUCCCGGUGCCGGCGCUCCUCCAGCCUGGCCGACUCCAUCGUCACGGUGACAACCGCGCUGUGGACAGAGAGAAACUAGGGUUGGUCAAAACGGUGCGUGACGUCACCCAGCAGUACGGAUGGGCUCACCACAGUUUGCUGAUGGACAGACGUUAACUACCUCGCCUGGCUCCCGCGCUCUGCACGGAGGAAAAGAAUUGAACGCCGCGAUUCACGUCCACUUUGGCCGGUUUCAUCCCGAAGAGUCCGUUUGGAACUGUCGCUGAGCUGUGCGACCGGUGUGAGAGAACGGAAGCGGCUUUCGCAGAACUACUUCCAAAAUCUCUGCAAGUCAC